GAGGGUAGAGCUCAGUGCUAGAGCAUGUGCUUAACAUGCAUGAGGUCCUGGGUUCAAUCCCCAGCACUUCCA
rnacentral:tRNA from 1 species